GGGACGUGCUGCGGCUGCGGAGCCGUGGGGCCGCCGCUGCCAUGUCGGAUGCGGGACGCGUUCCCGGGCGCGGCUGUGGGGCCGCUUCUCGGUUUUUAUUCCGAGUCUUCCCCAGUUAAUAAAGACGGAGAGAGAGAUCGAGCAUAGAGAGCAGCAAACAAUCCAGCAGAUCUCACAGCAAAGUACAAGAUCAAAUCCAGCCUGUGGCAGCCAGGCACAAAGGAAGGGCAUCACGCGAGCAAGAGUGGGUUGCUGGAGGUAAGGGAGGAGCAGAAG